UGGCUCAGAACGAACGCUGGCGGCGUGCCUAAUGCAUGCAAGUCGCACGCAGCGCUCUUCGGAGCGCUGAGUGGCGCACGGCUGAGGAACACGUACGAAUCUUCCCUCGCGUGGGGGAUAACUGGCCGAAAGGCUUGCUAAUCCCGCAUACGUCCCGCCUUCUCGGCGGGGGAAAGCCGCAAGGCGCGCGAGGAUGAGCGUGCGGCCCAUCAGGUAGUCGGCGGGGUAAUGGCCCACCGAGCCUGUGACGGGUAGCUGGUCUGUGAGGACAACCAGCCAGACUGGGACUGAGAGACGGCCCAGACUCCUACGGGAGGCAGCAG
rnacentral:rRNA from 1 species